GUGCUCAUUGUUUUCAUGCUUGGAGGUUUCAUAAUUCCUAGAGGUGAAAUUCCCAAGUGGUGGAUUUGGGGAUACUGGGUUUCACCUAUGACAUAUGGCUUCAAUGCUAUGACUGUAAACGAAAUGUAUUCUCCGAGGUGGAUGAACAAACUGGCUUCAGAUAAUGUUACCAGCUUGGGUGUGGCAGUGCUAAAUAACUUUAAUGUUU